CAGCAGACUUAUGUUUCCGAAAAGACUGUACGGUAAAACUGUGCUGUUGCGAAAAAUAAAACGUAAACUCGGAUUUUAAUUAUCGUACGAAUGGAAAUAGAAACUGAAGCAAAGGACUAUUCUUUUGACCUUUGUAUAUUACGCAAUGCCAGCAACCCUGCUAAUGUGUGAUACUUCGCUCCGGAUUUCUAUUACCAUUGUCAUCUGUGGUUGAUCAUUGAUGAAUGUUUCCUUAGUUCCUGUGUCUUCAUCUCAAAGAAAAGAGGACGUUCCUGUGUUGUUUUGGACUCUUAUACUAUGCCUUGGUGCUGAUUGAUGCAGUAUUGUUGCAACUUUAUGCAAAUUUUUUCUGUUCUGUUGCGGUUUGGAAUUCAGUAAAGAUUUGAUGCAAAA